AAUGAACGCUGGCGGCAUGCCUAACACAUGCAAGUCGAACGAAGGCUUCGGCCUUAGUGGCGCACGGGUGCGUAACGCGUGGGAAUCUGCCCUUGGGUUCGGAAUAACAGUUAGAAAUGACUGCUAAUACCGGAUGAUGUCGUAAGACCAAAGAUUUAUCGCCCAAGGAUGAGCCCGCGUAGGAUUAGCUAGUUGGUGGGGUAAAGGCCUACCAAGGCGACGAUCCUUAGCUGGUCUGAGAGGAUGAUCAGCCACACUGGGACUGAGACACGGCCCAGACUCCUACGGGAGGCAGCAGUGGGGAAUAUUGGACAAUGGGCGAAAGCCUGAUCCAGCAAUGCCGCGUGAGUGAUGAAGGCCUUAGGGUUGUAAAGCUCUUUUACCCGGGAUGAUAAUGACAGUACCGAGAGAAUAAGCUCCGGCUAACUUCGUG
rnacentral:rRNA from 1 species